rnacentral:misc_RNA from 1 species
GCUCUGCUGAACAUAUCUCUUAUGUUCAGUGAUUCUGUCUCCACUUUAGCCUUCUUAGUUUGUUUCCCAGUUCUCUUUGAUUUACUGUCAGUCUUUCCCUUUUCCUGUAUGAGAUUAGAAGAUGCUGGGUUAUUUUCAGCAGCCGUCAAACAAAUUUCAGUACCUGGUACUUUACUAGCUGCCUCCAGUAAAUUCAAUUUCAAAUGAUUACACAAAAGCUUCAACCAGGGCUCAUCCUUCAAGUAUUCCCCCAAUAUUGUGACAGCAUCAGUCAAUGUACUCUUUUCAUCUUGAGCAGCAUAGUUUUUGUCCAAUGAGGGUAGAGCCUGUUUUAAUUGGCAGACCUUGCAAGACAACCAUGAUAACACCUUUGAAUCAUCAAGGCGGAAAAACUUUGAAGAGCCAAUUUCUUUGACCUCGCACACUAUUUGCAUACAAUUCUCUGCAAUGGACAUUAAAUGAUGAUAUCCAGGACAGCCAUUAAUGAAGAUUAUCUCAUCUAAUUGUCUGAACUUCCCAGGAUCAUCCCCUUUCUUCAUUCUAGCUUCCUCAAAAAUAGGCAACAAAAUGAAGACCGGAUCAACUGGAGUGGCAGAAUAUAGGCACCCAUCUUCACAAACAUAAUCCCCCAGAAACCAAGAGGUGUAACAUUGCUUGAACCAGUGAAGUUCUUGGAGCACUCCAUUGAUAAGAAGAUAGCAUGUUGUCUUUCCUGAUUUUGGAUGUUGAAGUGGUAAUAAAUGACCUAAACCAUCUUCAAUUGCACUAGGUGCAAUGAGAAGACGAGUUUCAUUAGUGCCUUCCCACCAAGCCAUUUCAACCUUAUGCCACUGGAGCUUGAAGAAGACAGGACCUGGAUUUAGAUGAAUUUGAAUUUGAGAUGAUGAAUCUAUGUUGUUUUCGUGAAGAAUGGAUGGAACCAAGACAAAGAACAACAGACUCUUGAGUGAGAAAUGAAAUUUGGGUAAAACCGCGAGGAUUAGCAGUAAGAAUCAGUGGAGGACAGUGAGAAAUAGGAGCUCAACUCCCAAAACCUGCUUUUUAG